AUCGUUACAAAAUGGAGUCAGUAAUUGACAGUCUUGUACCCAAGGAUCGUAGAAUUGGGUGUGUAUAAAGCACGUGAACAAGCCGUGGCCAAAAGACUGCCGUUAAUUUUACUCUUAGUUACCACAAUUGAGUCGCGAUACUGUAAGCUAAGCUCUUUAUAUUUCAGGCGAACAAUAAAAAAAAGUUAUAACAGGAAAUGCAAUCUAGCUGAACAGAAAGGUCCGUCUACUUUCUUGAAUAAUCUGUUGCUCUUUCUUCCCCAUAGGCUGUAAUUAGGAACUUCUUAGUUCGCGGCUACUGCUAUUAGUCUUCGAUGUCAGUUUCCUUAGGCCCACAGCCUCUAUCCCGGACCGGAAAGCAGUAGUCACGCGUGUUGCUAAUGCUGUGUUCUCGGUGUUUUUCCCACCCUCUCAGCCAUGAAGCUCCCCCGCUCCUUCUCCCCUUUCCCCUUGAGCAUGGACCGAUUCGACACGGGGUCAAACAACAAUAUCCGGAACAAGAUGAUCAUAAGAAUAAGACGACAACGUAAUCAGAGUCACGAUGAUGAAGGCUGAGCACCACUUCCGUGAUCCAGGAGCAGAACUUUUGGCCAAAUCUGGGAUAUUGCCACAACUAUUCAAAAUGCUGGAAUGCCACUAAUAUUCUUUCUGAACAGAUAUAAAUAAUCUUACUUCAUAUUCAAAAACCAGCUUCAUAUCUGUUUUAGACUGAUAGAAAUAAAUAGUCAA